AUUAGAUCACGUAACCAUAUGAUUGAAGCACGCUUUGACCGUCGCCAGGAAGAUGCGUGCUAAUGAUUUGAGAUAAACGUCCACCCAUAUUUCUGUUAGCAAGAUUCAUUUCCGUAGCACAAUACUGCUUAAGGUCAGUAAUUUGAGGGAAUGGAUCAACCCUCUUUCCGCCAGUAGUAGCCAAUCUGGAAAAGGAAGCUUGGAAUGACAUCGAAUCAGCAUCGAUUUCGUCCAUAAACAAUUCUUCAUCUGCAUCUGUUUGAGCUUGUUCAAUAGGCAUUUCGAAUAAUUUGAGGAUACAAGUUAAUAAUGGGAUAAUAAGAUUCUCAUAAAUUGCGUCUGGGGCGAGUACUAGAUCACAAGUAAGAAGUCGCAGUAAUCCAAGAGCACUGAUUUUCCUAUCUAAUGGAAGCGCCAAUUUUUGUGCUUGAGGAAGAAUAAUUGAAGUCAUCAAUUGGCCAAAUACUCCAGACUGGACUGCAUCAACACCUUGGAUCAAAUUAUCUGGGCCGCAAGUACCCGUUUGCUCAGAAGCAACAAAAAAGAAGAAAAUCGUGCAUCGCAGAACGAAACGCUCAGUCCUCGAGUUUUUUAAUCUGCUUAACAGCAAAAAGAAUAUGUGGUUGAUAUAAGGCGCAAGUAUGUUAGCAUUGAAAACUGUGAAAACUCGGUCCAAGAGAUCAAACCCAAAAUGAUCAUUAACCUUUGAAGAAAUCAAUUUUUGGAAAAUUCCCAAAACCGGUUCAACAAACUUAUUGGAAAUAAAUAUCUGAGGACCACGAAAUAUCAUUGCCCGUAAUAGGCGAACUAAGGCAGGUAUAUUACCCUUUGAAUCCCAUAAAGCUGGAGAUAAACACGGCUGUAUGAGAUUGACAACAAAGUCAGGAAGAGGUUCAUUGCCACUAGCUUCAACUAAUUGAGAUAGCAGUUGUAGGACAUACGGAAUAAACUCAGUAACAUCUUCUAUAAGCACAUUUUGAAAGACUGGAAGUAGGGCAUUUUCCAGUUGAGAGACGGUUUGGGGACCAGAUUUAGAUAAACUACGAAUAAGUGCACCAAUAGAUUCGAAGAGAUAGUGGUUAAAUUUUGGAUUGGAAGGAUUCUUGCUAACCUCUUCCGUAAUUUUUGU